UGGGAUGGGUAUGUGCAGCGUCUAUGUAAUGUGUAUACGUCUACAUAUGCAUAAAUGCAAAGAAAGACGUAUGGGCACAAAGGCACACACAAACCUCUCUAUGUCUACAUUCGGUUAUCAUUACGCAUUGUGCAAUGUCUAUACCCCUAUGUCUUUAUGUACAUAUUUAUAAUGCACGGAUGUGCCCCGGCCAAUGGCAGGAUGGCGCUACAAUGUAUCCCAAUUCUCGAGGUUGGGGGGGCCCGCCCCCGCCCGCUCCGGGGAGCCAGUAUGAAAGAAGGUCGGCGGGUUCCUGCUCCUCUGCGCAGCGCUCAGCUCUCGGCAGCAGGGGACUGAGUCCUCCCCCUGCCUCCUCUCAGCCCACGCCGAGCUCAAUCUUCAUUCCAACCGCAGCCUCCGUCACGCUGACGUCAAUGGAGCCGGGCGCGUCCCCGUGGGUGGAUGUGGGCGCCAGCCCUCGGCUUUCCCCCCUCCUUUCUUCUUCAUUCCUUCCCCCCCCCGCUCCGUAAUGGAUUGGUUCACUCCGCUCCCCGCUUCUCCGGGAACGCCGAAGGCUCUUGAAUGAAGCAGGCCCAGUGAGCGGAAGUGGAAGGAACCAUCUGGGAGGCGGUGGGGGUCCCCCGCGCGUUCAUUGAAGGGCUCCGCGUCGGAGUGAACAUGGUGUUCCAUGUGCGUCUUAUGUAAAGCGAGCGACAGGCGGCUCAGCCAAUGGGCUCGCGGAGCAGGCCGAGGCCCCCGCCCCACUAUGCAGAUGAGCCGGGGGUGCCUCCAAUGUCGGGGCGCGGGGGGCGGGCCCGGCGCGUGCGGUCACGUUUUCCACUAUGUGACAGCCGCCUGGCCUCUUAGCUCUAGCAAGAGGCUGCCGCGUCGCGUUCUGUGGGUCCUCGGCUCAGCCUCCGCCUCCGCCUCGGCAACAGCCGCUCGCCUCCCGCCCCUCGGCCCGGGCCCUGGCUCCUACUGUUGCGCCGGCCAGUUUCCGCACGUCGUCGGUGUGCUGCUGCCGCCGCCUCCCGGGGAGCUGCGGGGCUCUCUACCAGCUUUGGCCUUUGGAGCUUCAAAUAUAGAAUUGUCCUGGUGCCUUAUUGAGACAUUUCUUGUCAGUUUUCUCUGAAGUGGUAAGUUGAUUUUUCCAUUGUUGAUAAGUGAUAAGUUGUGUGGGUUUUUUUUUAACUUUCCAUUAAAUAAACUUUAAGAGGCAUGCCCCUGUUAUCUUAAA
rnacentral:lncRNA from 1 species